rnacentral:rRNA from 1 species
CGUGGGCAACCUACCCAUAAGCGGGGGGAUAACAGUUGGAAACGACUGCUAAUACCGCAUAAGCGUAUUAAGGUCACAUGACCUUAAUAGUAAAGGUGGCGAUUUUACAUUGCUAUCACUUAUGGAUGGGCCCGCGUCUGAUUAGCUAGUUGGUGGGAUAGCAGCCUACCAAGGCAACGAUCAGUAGCCGGCCUGAGAGGGUGGACGGCCACACUGGGACUGAGACACGGCCCAGACUCCUACGGGAGGCAGCAGUGGGGAAUAUUGCGCAAUGGGGGAAACCCUGACGCAGCGACGCCGCGUGAGCGAAAGGAGGCCUUAGGGUCGUAAAGCUCUGUUGUAAGGGACGAAUGUUUAUCUGGCGAACAGUCAGAUAAAGUGACGGUACCUUACCAGCAAGCCCCGGCUAACUACGUGCCAGCCGCUGC